rnacentral:rRNA from 1 species
AGGUCAAGCUAUAAAGAGCGCAAGGGGAAUGCCUUGGCAUCAGGAGCCGAAGAAGGACGUGACAAGCUGCGAUAAGCUGCGGUGAGCUGCACAUAAGCUUUGACCCGC